UAGUCUAGUCAAGCUUUGAUCACUUGUGUGAGGGGACAUCUCUCAAUCCUUGUUCUGAAGUAAUAUUAUCUUAAAGUUCUGAUUAAACACAACAAUUUGUAAGAUUCACCGAACAAUAGUGCUGUUUGGAAAUCUAUAUAUAUGACAUGAGAUUCAAUCUGUACAUCGUCAUAUUAUUGUCAAUAUUGGCGAUUGCGGCCUGCGUAGUACCAGAAAAAUUGCUAUGGAAGCAAAAGAAAAUAAAGCUAGAUACGUGGUUUCGCAGACCACGACCACCCGCAUUUCCAUGCGAAUUAUGCAAUGCAAGAUAAUAUGAUGAUCUAUUUCGCUCGUGACAUAAACACUCAACGUUCAAAAAUAAUCAGUAUAAAAUUUGAUGUUACAUAUAUUAUGUUACAGUAUUAUGUGCUACAUAUUUUAAUAUUUUAUGAUAAUUUAAUGAGUUUUAUAUAUAAAUAAACUCAUAUCAAAUAAUAUUCACAAUGUUUUUGAUCUUAUGCAGAGCAUAAAAUAUUAAAAUAUGAUUACUGCUAUAAAUAAAAAAUGUUACUAUAAAUAAUAAAUAUUACGGUGAAAAUGUUAAAGCGUAACAUGAUAUUUGUGGUAAUAAAAGAUUUUUGCUAAACAAUCGAUAUAAAUUGCAUUAUAUUGUGUCACAUUUCCUAUCGGUAAAUGCCUCGUCA